AUUAACAAGCAAAAACCAUUUCCUUAAAACCUUGCUACCUCAAGCGGGAGCUAUGCGUCAGCAGAUUACAACAGUUCCAGGUGAAGACAAUGUUGGCAAAAGUCUUCCAACCCCUCCAACUUUCUGACCUGCAGAAUGAAAGCAUUCUGUCUCUGGGCUCCUAAGAUCAGAAAUGUUGGAGGAGCUUCAAUGAGUGAGAAACUGUGAGUUACCUGCAAAAGAUAAAAGCAAAACAGAAUGCAUUGAUGAAGAUAAUUCAAUCAGCAUGCACAGCAUAGAAUUGUUAUAGAUUGGGUAACUUCAUCAAGACUUCUCCAUGACUGAAGGUGGUAGAUUCUCAAGGAUCUGGACCAAGAUAGGAUUACUGAAUAUCUCAAGAACAAUCAAGAAUGUAAGAAAAUAUCAUUGUCUGUUAAGACUCCAUCGCAGAGAAGUUAAAGAGCUUCAAUCACCAUGCUUUCAGGGUCAAUUUGUCUCCGAAAAGGAACAGAUGGGGAAGAAUUAUUCCAUUCACAGUUGACUUGUCAGAAAUUCUAAGAUCUUGGACUGGCUGAAAGCAAUGAUGUUGCCAUUCAUCCUUUCACGUAUUCAUUAUGGUCUACAGCUGAGAAGGGCUAUUUGGGGUUUGCUUUGCCUGAUGGUAGCAGAAGAAAACCAAGAGGCCUCUCUACGAAAGCUUGCAGU
rnacentral:lncRNA from 1 species